CAGGUUUUUCUUUGCCAGCUGGUCCCAGGAGGAAGGUGGGGUCUGACAGCAGAGGUACAGCUGUAGGGGAAAAAGGCCCACAAAGGCAUUUAGGAGUGCUUGUGCUGCUCGUCUGAGCAGCAAGAGGUCUGCUGUGGGGUGCACGAUGCUGUAGCUGUCUGAGCAGCUACAAGGUCCUGUGCAGAGCCAGACUUCUGCAGGCACAAGUCAUUUUGCUUCUUGUAACACCACCUCUUGUGUUGUGAGGAUGUUUGCCCUUUGUCACUGCCACUCCUGUAAUGUUUUGAUCCCUAAAUAUGCUGGUGGUGGACGUAGAGGUUCCUCCGCUUCCACUUGCACAGUGCUGCACACAGAAAAGACCUGGCUGUAUUAAGAUUUUCCUUGGACACACCUGAAUAUUUCAGGUGUGGAAGACUGAAUCAGAGAUGGAAGCAGAGAUGAAUUUCUGUAUUUGUUUGUUUGUUUGUUUGUUUUGUAAUAGGAAAGGACAAGGAACUAGUUUUAGAGGACAGUACUAAAAAGUUAUACUCCUAUUUACAUUUACAUAUACACUUACAUUUAUACCUACUCAGAAAUUUAUUAAAGAAAAAUCCUUCUUUGAAUCCAGCUUCUGCUGUACAAAGUUAACAAAGCUGUAGAAAAAUAAACUGAGAAGUUACAUGCUUCA
rnacentral:lncRNA from 1 species